UUUCCCAGUUGACUACCACAUUUUCUCCUAAAUAGAUUUUAGUGGCUAUGCUUAUGGGAUAGACUAAAAUUGCCAUGAUCUGAAGAGGGAGGAUUUGUUUGUGUCCUCCUCCUAUAUGAAAUGGCUGGACAAAGUUGG
rnacentral:snoRNA from 9 species